ensembl:misc_RNA Metazoa_SRP Metazoan signal recognition particle RNA
GCCAGGCAUGGUGGUGGGUGCCUGUAAUCCCAGCUACUAGGGAGGCUGAGGCAGGAGAAUCACUUGAACCCAGGAGGUGGAGGUUGCCGUGAGCCAAGAUUGCGCCACUGCACUCCAGCCUGGGUGACAGAGUGAGACUCUGCCUCAA